UAAUUGAAACCAAAUAGAGGUAAAUUAUUGUUAAUAAUUUUAAUGAAAAAAUACUCCAAUUAA
rnacentral:tRNA from 1 species